rnacentral:tRNA from 1 species
GGGGAUGUAGCUCAGUGGUAGAGCGUCCGCUUACCACUGCGGAAGGCCCGUGGUUCGAUCCCCCGCAUCUCCA